rnacentral:rRNA from 1 species
AUUGAACGCUGGCGGCAUGCCUUACACAUGCAAGUCGAACGGUAACAGGUCUUCGGAUGCUGACGAGUGGCGAACGGGUGAGUAAUACAUCGGAACGUGCCCGAGAGUGGGGGAUAACGAGGCGAAAGCUUUGCUAAUACCGCAUACGAUCUCAGGAUGAAAGCAGGGGACCGCAAGGCCUUGCGCUCACGGAGCGGCCGGUGGCAGAUUAGGUAGUUGGUGGGAUAAAAGCUUACCAAGCCGACGAUCUGUAGCUGGUCUGAGAGGACGACCAGCCACACUGGGACUGAGACACGGCCCAGACUCCUACGGGAGGCAGCAGUGGGGAAUUUUGGACAAUGGGCGCAAGCCUGAUCCAGCCAUGCCGCGUGCAGGAUGAAGGCCUUCGGGUUGUAAACUGCUUUUGUACGGAACGAAAAGACUCCUUCUAAUAAAGGGGGUUCAUGACGGUACCGUAAGAAUAAGCACCGGCUAACUACGUGCCAGCAGCCGCGGUAAAAC